AUUGAACGCUGGCGGCAUGCUUUACACAUGCAAGUCGAACGGUAACAGGCCGCAAGGUGCUGACGAGUGGCGAACGGGUGAGUAAUGCAUCGGAACGUGCCCAGUCGUGGGGGAUAACGCAGCGAAAGCUGUGCUAAUACCGCAUACGAUCUAUGGAUGAAAGCGGGGGACCGUAAGGCCUCGCGCGAUUGGAGCGGCCGAUGUCAGAUUAGGUAGUUGGUGGGGUAAAGGCCCACCAAGCCAACGAACUGUAGCUGGUCUGAGAGGACGACCAGCAACACUGGGACUGAGACACGGCCCAGACUCCUACGGGAGGCAGCAGUGGGGAAUUUUGGACAAUGGGCGCAAGCCUGAUCCAGCAAUGCCGCGUGCAGGAAGAAGGCCUUCGGGUUGUAAACUGCUUUUGUACGGAACGAAAAGGUCUGGGUUAAUACCCUGGGCUGAUGACGGUACCGUAAGAAUAAGCACCGGCUAACUACGUGCCAGCCGCCGCCGUAACAC
rnacentral:rRNA from 1 species